GCAUAUCCAUAAGCAGAGGAAAAGAAACCAAACAGGGAUUGCCUCAGUAACGGCGAGUGAAGCGGCAAGAGCUCAAAUUUGAAAUCUGGCCCCUCCGGGGUCCGAGUUGUAAUUUGCAGAGGAUGCUUCGGAUACGGCCCCCGUCUAAGUGCCCUGGAACGGGCCGUCGGAGAGGGUGAGAAUCCCGUCUGGGACGGGGUGUCCGUGUCCGUGUGAAGCUCCUUCGACGAGUCGAGUUGUUUGGGAAUGCAGCUCUAAAUGGGUGGUAAAUUUCAUCUAAAGCUAAAUAUUGGCCGGAGACCGAUAGCGCACAAGUAGAGUGAUCGAAAGAUGAAAAGCACUUUGAAAAGAGAGUUAAACAGCACGUGAAAUUGUUGAAAGGGAAGCGCUUGCGACCAGACUCGCCUGCGGGGUUCAGCCGGGAUUCGUCCCGGUGUACUUCCCCGCAGGCGGGCCAGCGUCGGUUUGGGCGGUCGGUCAAAGGCCUCCGGAAUGUAUCGCCCCCCGGGGCGUCUUAUAGCCGGAGGUGCAAUGCGGCCUGCCCGGACCGAGGAACGCGCUUCGGCACGGACGCUGGCAUAAUGGUCGUAAGCGACCCGUCUUGAAACACGGACCAAGGAGUCUAACAUCUACGCGAGUGUUCGGGUGUCAAACCCGUGCGCGCAGUGAAAGCGAACGGAGGUGGGAACCCCUCGGGGUGCACCAUCGACCGAUCCUGAUGUCUUCGGAUGGAUUUGAGUAGGAGCGUAGCUGUUGGGACCCGAAAGAUGGUGAACUAUGCCUGAAUAGGGCGAAGCCAAGAGGAAACUCUGGUGGAGGCUCGCAAGCGGUUCUGACGUGCAAAUCGAUUCGUCGAAAUUUGGGUAUAGGGGGCGAAAGACUAAUCGAACCAUCUGGUAGCUGGUUCCUGCCGA
rnacentral:rRNA from 1 species